UACGUAGGGUGCAAGCGUUGUCCGGAUUUAUUGGGUUUAAAGGGUGCGUAGGCGGCUUAUUAAGUCAGUGUUUAAAUUUUGCGGCUUAACCGUAAGUAUGGCAUUGAUACUGAUUAGCUUGAGUACAUGAGAGGCAGGCGGAAUUGAUAGUGUAGCGGUGAAAUGCAUAGAUAUUAUCAAGAACUCCGAUAGCGAAGGCAGCUUGCUGUCAUGUAACUGACGCUGAGGCACGAAAGUGUGGGGAUCAAACAGG
rnacentral:rRNA from 1 species